UACCAGCACCCCGAGUUGUCGGGACGAUUAUUGGGCCUAAAGCAUCCGUAGCCUGUUCUACAAGUCCUCCGUUAAAUCCACCUGCUCAACAGAUGGGCUGCGGGGGAUACUAUAGGGCUAGGAGGCGGGAGAGGCAAACGGUACUCAGUGGGUAGGGGUAAAAUCCAUUGAUCUACUGAAGACCACCAGUGGCGAAGGCGGUUUGCCAGAACGCGCUCGACGGUGAGGGAUGAAAGCUGGGGGAGCAAACCGGAUUAGAUACCGAGUAGUCC
rnacentral:rRNA from 1 species